rnacentral:rRNA from 1 species
GACGGAGGAUGCAAGCGUUAUCCGGAAUGAUUGGGCGUAAAGCGUCCGCAGGUGGCCGUUCAAGUCUGCUGUCAAAGACCGGGGCUUAACUUCGGAAAGGCAGUGGAAACUGAACAGCUAGAGUAUGGUAGGGGCAGAGGGAAUUCCUGGUGUAGCGGUGAAAUGCGUAGAGAUCAGGAAGAACAUCGGUGUCGAAGGCGCUCUGCUGGACCAUAACUGACACUCAGGGACGAAAGCUAGGGGAGCGAAUGGG